rnacentral:lncRNA from 1 species
AUCUAUUAUUUGUUGAUGAAAAUCUGUAUGUGAAAGACUUUCUGGUUACCUAGAAAAAGGACGGACGAGCCCGGUACAUAGGGGACCCUACCGUGAAUGUUACCUCAGUCGGACGAAAUUGGGAAGUCCCUUACUGGAUAGGUUUGGGAGAUAUGGUUCAGCCUCAUACCGGACGGGAUAUCGAAGUGAUGGAAUGUUUGACGCUCAUUACUGGACGGGGUAUGGGAACAGUCAGUUAAUUA